CACGUUGUAGCGGUGAAAUUGCGUAGAGAUGUGGAGGAACACCAGUGGCGAAGGCGACUCUCUGGUCUGUAACUGACGCUGAGGAGCGAAAGCGUGGGGAGCGAACAGGAUUAGAUACCCUGGUAGUCCACGCCGUAAACGAUGAGUGCUAAGUGUUAGGGGGUUUCCGCCCCUUAGUGCUGCAGCUAACGCAUUAAGCACUCCGCCUGGGGAGUACGGUCGCAAGACUGAAACUCAAAGGAAUUGACGGGGGCCCGCACAAGCGGUGGAGCAUGUGGUUUAAUUCGAAGCAACGCGAAGAACCUUACCAGGUCUUGACAUCCUCUGACAACCCUAGAGAUAGGGCUUUCCCUUCGGGGACAGAGUGACAGGUGGUGCAUGGUUGUCGUCAGCUCGUGUCGUGAGAUGUUGGGUUAAGUCCCGCAACGAGCGCAACCCUUGAUCUUAGUUGCCAGCAUUCAGUUGGGCACUCUAAGGUGACUGCCGGUGACAAACCGGAGGAAGGGUGGGGAUGACGUCAAAUCAUCAUGCCCCUUAUGACCUGGGCUACACACGUGCUACAAUGGACAGAACAAAGGGCUGCAAGACCGCAAGGUUUAGCCAAUCCCAUAAAUCUGUUCUCAGUUCGGAUCGCAGUCUGCAACUCGACUGCGUGAAGCUGGAAUCGCUAGUAAUCGC
rnacentral:rRNA from 1 species